UGGGGAAUAUUGCACAAUGGGGGGAACCCUGAUGCAGCAACGCCGCGUGAAGGAAGAAGGCCCUUGGGCCGUAAACUUCUGUUCUGGGGGAAGAUGGUGACGGUACCCCAGGAGCAAGUCCCGGCUAACUACGUGCCAGCAGCCGCGGUAAUACGUAGGGGGCGAGCGUUAUCCGGAAUCAUUGGGCGUAAAGGGUGCGUAGGCGGCCGCCCAAGCAGGGGGUAUAAGGCCACGGCUUAACCGUGGCUUGCCCCCUGAACUGGGCGGCUUGAGUGCAGGAGAGGAAAGCGGAAUUCCGUAGUGUAGCGGUGAAAUGCGUAGAUAUUAGGAGGAACACCAGUGCGAAGGCGGCUUUCGUGGACUGCAACUGACGCUGAGGCACGAAAGCGUGGGGAGCAAACAGGAUUAGAUACC
rnacentral:rRNA from 1 species